CCUGGGGGUUACAGUGGACCAUAAGAUGAAUAUGAGCCAAUCCAGCAGUGUGCCCUUGUUGCCAAAAAGGCUAACAACAUAUUGGGCUGUAUUGAUAGGAGUGUUGCUGGCAGGUAUGGGGAAGUGAUUAUUCCCCUCUAUUCAGCACUGGUGAGGUGACAUCUGGAGUACGGUGUCCAGUUUUGGGCCUGCCACUACAGAAAGGAUUUGGACAAAUUGGAGAGAAUUUAGCUGAGGGCAACAAACAUGGUUUGGGG